UACGGAGGGGGUUAGCGUUGUUCGGAAUUACUGGGCGUAAAGCGCGCGUAGGCGGAUUGGAAAGUUGGGGGGUGAAAUCCCGGGGCUCAACCCCCGGAACUGCCUCCAAAAACUUCCAGUCUGGAGUUCGAGAGAGGUGAGUGGAAUUCCGAGUGUAGAGGUGAAAUUCGUAGAUAUUCGGAGGAACACCAGUGGCGAAAGGCGGCUCACUGGCUCGAUACUGACGCUGAGGUGCGAAAAGUGUGGGGAGCAAAACAGG
rnacentral:rRNA from 1 species